CCAGGGGGAAGUAAAGCGGAAGUUACGUUGCUGCCAGUAGUCAAACUGUGCAGCCUCAGUUAUAAUCGGUCAGUAACUGUUGGUGAAGAGUGGGGAACGGUUCACUUUUCGAUGGAGGUAAUGCAGAAAUGAUUUAAAUGAAGAUGGACUCUGCUAGGGUUUGAAUCACUUGGAAAGACGAGUAAUUGAAGAGAUGCUUAUUCCUGCAGACUUCCUCACCGAAUUGCGGCACAUUUCUUCCAGUUUUACUUGAUGUGCGUGUAAUUGGUCAAUAAAUAAAACUUGGAUUUGAAAUUUUGUGUGAUUAU